rnacentral:rRNA from 1 species
AAGUCGAACGCUUCUUUCCUCCCGAGUGCUUGCACUCAAUUGGAAAGAGGAGUGGCGGACGGGUGAGUAACACGUGGGUAACCUACCCAUCAGAGGGGGAUAACACUUGGAAACAGGUGCUAAUACCGCAUAACAGUUUAUGCCGCAUGGCAUAAGAGUGAAAGGCGCUUUCGGGUGUCGCUGAUGGAUGGACCCGCGGUGCAUUAGCUAGUUGGUGAGGUAACGGCUCACCAAGGCCACGAUGCAUAGCCGACCUGAGAGGGUGAUCGGCCACACUGGGACUGAGACACGGCCCAGACUCCUACGGGAGGCAGCAGUAGGGAAUCUUCGGCAAUGGACGAAAGUCUGACCGAGCAACGCCGCGUGAGUGAAGAAGGUUUUCGGAUCGUAAAACUCUGUUGUUAGAGAAGAACAAGGACGUUAGUAACUGAACGUCCCCUGACGGUAUCUAACCAGAAAGCCACGGCUAACUACGUGCCAGCAGCCGCGGUAAUACGUAGGUGGCAAGCGUUGUCCGGAUUUAUUGGGCGUAAAGCGAGCGCAGGCGGUUUCUUAAGUCUGAUGUGAAAGCCCCCGGCUCAACCGGGGAGGGUCAUUGGAAACUGGGAGACUUGAGUGCAGAAGAGGAGAGUGGAAUUCCAUGUGUAGCGGUGAAAUGCGUAGAUAUAUGGAGGAACACCAGUGGCGAAGGCGGCUCUCUGGUCUGUAACUGACGCUGAGGCGUCGAAAGCGNUGGGGAGCAAACAGGAUUAGAUACCCUGGUAGUCCACGCCGUAAACGAUGAGUGCUAAGUGUUGGAGGGUUUCCGCCCUUCAGUGCUGCAGCAAACGCAUUAAGCACUCCGCCUGGGGAGUACGACCGCAAGGU